GACGAACGCUGGCGGCGUGCUUAACGCAUGCAAGUCGAAGGAAAGGGCUCUUUCGGGGGGUUCUCGAGUGGCGGAACGGUUAGUAACACGUUAGUAACCUUCCCUUGGCUUUUGGGUUACUUCAAGAAAAUGGGGCUAAUACCGGGUAAGAGCUCCUGCUGGAUGGUGGGGGUUGGGAAAUUUCGGCGGUUGGGGAUGGACUCGCGGCUUAUCAGCUUGUUGGUGGGGUAGUGGCUUACCAAGGCUUUGACGGGUAGCCGGCCUGAGAGGGUGACCGGCCACAUUGGGACUGAGAUACGGCCCAGACUCCUACGGGAGGCAGCAGUGGGGAAUAUUGCACAAUGGGUGGAAGCCUGAUGCAGCAACGCCGUGUGCGGGAUGACGGCCUUCGGGUUGUAAACCGCUUUCGCUCAUGACGAAGCUUUGUGUGACGGUAGUGGGUAAAGAAGCACCGGCUAACUACGUG
rnacentral:rRNA from 1 species